rnacentral:rRNA from 1 species
GUGGGGAAUAUUGGACAAUGGGCGCAAGCCUGAUCCAGCCAUGCCGCGUGAGUGAUGAAGGCCUUAGGGUUGUAAAGCUCUUUCAGUGGGGACGAUAAUGACGGUACCCACAGAAGAAGCCCCGGCUAACUUCGUGCCAGCAGCCGCGGUAAUACGAAGGGGGCUAGCGUUGUUCGGAUUUACUGGGCGUAAAGCGCACGUAGGCGGAUCGUUAAGUCGGGGGUGAAAUCCUGGAGCUCAACUCCAGAACUGCCUUCGAUACUGGCGAUCUUGAGUCCGGAAGAGGUGAGUGGAACUCCUAGUGUAGAGGUGGAAUUCGUAGAUAUUAGGAAGAACACCAGUGGCGAAGGCGGCUCACUGGUCCGGUACUGACGCUGAGGUGCGAAAGCGUGGGGAGCAAACAGGAUUAAAAACCCCGGUAUCC